rnacentral:rRNA from 1 species
UACAGAGGGGGCAAGCGUUGUUCGGAAUUACUGGGCGUAAAGGGCGCGUAGGCGGCCUGCUAAGUCGAACGUGAAAUCCCUGGGCUCAACCCAGGAACUGCGUCCGAUACUGGUUGGCUUGAAUCCGGGAGAGGGAUGUGGAAUUCCAGGUGUAGCGGUGAAAUGCGUAGAUAUCGUCAAGAACACCGAUAGUGUAGACAGCUUACUAGGCUUUAACUGACGCUGAGGCACGAAAGUGUGGGGAUCAAACAGG